rnacentral:rRNA from 1 species
UAAUAACAAAAAAAUGGUUUAAAAAAUGGGAAAAUUGGGUUGUAGAGGAGGUAAUUGAAAUUCCUGGUGUGGCGUGGGAUUGGUUAAAUUUUUGAAAAACCCCCGUGGGGGAAGGUGCUUACUUGUUCUGCAAUUAAUAUUAAAAUUCAAAUGUGGGUAAGAGAACAGGAUUACCCCCCGGUCAGCCCAUGCCGAAAAGAUUAAUGGUUAGGGGUGGAUGGCUUCCUUCCUUUCCUGGCCGAAGCUAACGCAUUUCCCCCGGGCCUGGGGACUACGACCGCUGGCUGAAACUAAUUGGAAUUGCCCGCGGCCCGCACAGGCGGGGGAUUUGUUUUUAAUUCAAAGCUAAAGUAGACCCUUACCUGGUCUUGAUUUCUUGUGCAAUCAUAGAGAUAGCUUUGACUACAGGGACACGAUCCAGGUGGUGCUGGCCCUCGUCCUCUCGUGGUGUGAUGUGUUCUGACGAAUCCCGAAACGAGCGUACCCCUUUUUACUAUUUGCCAGUAUUUCUCUUGGGCUCUCUUGUGAGACUGACUGUGAAAACCGGGAGGAAUGUGGUCAACGACGUCAGCCUCAUCAUGCCCCCUGACUACCCGGGGCUACACACGGUACUACAAAAGGACGGUACAAUA